AGGCAGCCCCCUUGCAAAUGAAAAUGACAAGGGAGGUGUUUAUCUACUCAAAAAUUAAUUGACUUUUGCUCUUCAGACUUUGCUGAGUUGGGUAUUAAUAUAAUCCCUUCCCUGAAGUUGGUCUAGUAAACUUAAGCACAUU